GAUUCCUCACAACGCUUCUCCAGGGCAUGAUGGCCCUUGGUGAGUUGUGAGACCUGCCCACAAUACAGCUUUUCCCAAGGCAUUGUGGGAAAUUUAAAUGGCAGCUCUCAGAUUCAACUGAUCAGAGUCCUUCUGUUGCCUGACAAGCCUGAUGAGGAACGCAAGGUGGUGUACAGAGUUCUCCUCCCCGUUGUAUUCUUACCACAACCCUGUGAGGAAGAAGUGAUGGUCAUCAACUUGGAUGGAUUUAAAAGGCUUAUCUUCCAUCUAUCUGAAUGGGUGCAUGUAGAUGUUGUGUGCAGGGCAUAAAGCCUCAGCCCUGUGCCUUUAAGAGCAGCCAUUUUGCAAAGUGUGGUGAUUAGCAAGUGGUAAGACCUCACUCCACAGCUUCUGCUACCAAGACAGAGGAUGCAGGUCUGACAUAAGAUCCCACCAGCUCAUCCAAUUCCUUCACCUCCAUCAUGCUGGUUGAAUCCUGACUGCUACUUGAUGCUGAGAUUGUGGCAGAAGCUCAUUUCGUCUUGCGACCUCCGACCAGCAGUCUAAAGUGGCAGAGACCAGACACAGCUUUACACCCUCCAUGAGAGCUAGGCCAUAAAGAUGGUCGCAAGUGUAGCUGCUGCAGAUUCAUCUCUUGCAUCGUACGCAGCUGACGAAAGACAUUUCAAUUCUUAUAUGGCAAACCAAACUAUGUUAGGCCACAUUUUGAAAAUGCCUCUUUAGCUUCUUCAGCUUUUUGACAUAGUACUGCUAUAUGCGUUCUGUGACAUGGGAUAUCCUCUUUCAUUGCCGGCUAAAGAGGAUGACAUGGUGGCGCAGAUGUUGGGGCCCUGAGGCCAAUGGGAGGCGCACUGAGUGGGCUGAAGGCUUGGCAGCAAAGGGUUGGUGGCACAGGCCUGAAGAAUACUUACGUACCCCUUCUUUGGUGAGCAAUGAGAAAUUCCAGGUCUGCAGUACUUAUUUACUUUCAAAUAGACAGGUUGACUAUAGGUAGAGGCAAAGCUUAUGCACCUCUGUAGACUGGACAUUGCACCCAUGUAAGAUUCCGGUCAGACCCUUACAGAUCCCUGCUCAGCUCCCUGUCUCUUUGUUUCUGACUCAUACCACACACACAGCCUGUCCUUUGCACACAGACACCUGGACUGCAUCAACUUUUCCUGGAAAGUGGGAAUGUCUGCUCAUUUUGAAUAUUCAAAACAUUCCCCGAAAGAUCCUGUGUCAAGAGGCAGUUGACUGUUUGGAUCCUGUAGUUUACCUAACCAAAGGAUGCAAUCAGCCAGAUGUGGCCCCUUAUCAAUCUCUUGUCCACAUCCCUAGGCUCACAGCAAUAUUUUAAUGUGCUCUCCAUGUUAAGCACACCUGAUCCCAUCUGAAUGCAUUGCUGCUUUUUGCCACUCUCUUAAAAGGGUGAUUGUGAACAAGGUAUAUAAUUUCCAGCUUGACAUUUGAUGUCCCCUUCCUAAGAAGAAGAAGAAGAAAACAUCCAUGAGCUGCCAUCAGUGGAAUAAAAUGGACACCUGGAAAAUUGCCAUGAUGCACUUACAUCUCUGAAUGUAUGGUUGAAAGGAAUUUAACUUCUGUGGACCUGCCACAGAAAGGACUGAGUUUCUAGCGUGCUUUUGCAAG